GCAGUGGUCCCGCCUUUUUCCUCUCAUUGGCUGAGAUUCUCAGCGCGUCACACCGGCGACCAGGUUGUGCCCGCCCUCCCAGCAGAGAGGGAAUCAAAGCGCAGGAAAAGGCGCGUGUGUGCAGAGUCCUUUUGUUGCACUGUGACACUUUACCCAACACCCAUCUCCCCAGCUGCAGAGACCAGAUCUGCCAGGUAAAAAUAUUUAGAAUGUCCUUUUUCUGACAGGAUUGCACUCAGCCUGGUACUUCCUCUUGCCUAUACUGGCCUUGAAGUUGUGUUACUUGACAGGGUAGAGUGGCUCAGAACUGAAACUUCUACAUUGCAGAAUUAGAGACAGGAAGAAGAGGAUCGUGCUCAAGGUAAUCUUUAGCUACAAGGUGGCCUGUUGGGAUUUAAGAGACCUUGAUGAAAACAGAAAUGUUCACAGCAUAGCAUUACACUAAAGGAGGAACAGAGGCAGCAAGAUCAAGAGGAAGACAAAGGUAGCCUGGGCUUUCAUUCUAUCCCGAGUGGUAUUCUCUCUGAAUUUUAGGUUUGACUGUGUGAACACUAAAACCAGCAUAGCAACACUAUUCCAAAAGAGGAAAAAAAA
rnacentral:sRNA from 1 species